AGUAAAUUGGUUAAGUUAGAAAGGGCGCACGGUGGAUGCCUUGGCACUAGGAGCCGAAGAAGGACGGGACUAACACCGAUAUGCUUUGGGGAGCUGUACGUAAGCGUUGAUCCAGAGAUUUCCGAAUGGGGGAACCCACUAUCUUUAGUCGGAUAGUAUCCUUACGUGAAUACAUAGCGUGAGGAAGGCAGACCCAGGGAACUGAAACAUCUAAGUACCUGGAGGAAGAGAAAGAAAAAUCGAUUUCCUGAGUAGCGGCGAGCGAAACGGAAAGAGCCCAAACCAAGAAGCUUGCUUCUUGGGGUUGUAGGACACUCUAUACGGAGUUACAAAAGAAAGUUAUAAAUGAAGCGGUCUGGAAAGGCCCGCCAAAGACGGUAACAGCCCGGUAGUUGAAAUGGCUUUCCCUCCAGAGUGGAUCCUGAGUACGGCGGAACACGUGAAAU
rnacentral:rRNA from 1 species